UACAGAGGGUGCGAGCGUUGUUCGGAAUUACUGGGCGUAAAGCGCGCGCAGGCGGAUCCUGCAAGUCUGGAGUGAAUCUCACCGCUCAACGGUGAGGCUGCUUUGGAUACUGCGGAGUCUGGAGACCGGUAGAGGCUGGUAGAAUUGCAGGUGUAGACGGUGGAAUGCGUAGAGAUCUGACAAGAAUACCCGUGGCGAAGGCGGCCAACUGGGCCGGUUCUGACGCUGACGG
rnacentral:rRNA from 1 species